rnacentral:rRNA from 1 species
UAGGGAAUCUUCCGCAAUGGACGAAAGUCUGACGGAGCAACGCCGCGUGAGUGAAGAAGGAUUUCGGUUCGUAAAACUCUGUUGUUAGGGAAGAAAAAAUGUAUAUUAACUAUAUACAAAAGAGACGGUACCUAACCAGAAAGCCACGGCUAACUACGUGCCAGCAGCCGCGGUAAUACGUAGGUGGCAAGCGUUGUCCGGAAUUAUUGGGCGUAAAGCGAGCGCAGGUUGUUUAGAAAGUCUGAUGUGAAAGCCCACGGUUCAACCGUGGAGGGUCAUUGGAAACUAAUAAACUUGAGUGCAGGAGAGAAAAGUGGAAUUCCUAGUGUAGCGGUGAAAUGCGUAGAGAUUAGGAGGAACACCGGUGGCGAAAGCGGCUUUUUGGCCUGCAACUGACAAUGAGGCGCGAAAGCGUGGGGAGCAAACAGG